GCAUUCUCUGGAUGCUAUUAUGGUGGAGGGGAUAAGGAGAGGACAGAACUGGGAAAGAUACGACGGAGGUGGAAAACUUUACAUAAUAGCAACCCAGAAAAGGCAAGGAGGCAAGGAAGAUGCCCUCUUACUCCUGAAGAAGUUGGAUUGAUGCUAAGAGCACUUGGAUAUGGAGAAGACGUUCAUAUUUACGUAGCAUCUGGUGAAGUGUAUGGAGGUGAAGAGACAUUGGCACCACUAAAGGCCCUCUUUCCAAACUUUUACUCAAAGGACACUAUUGCCAGCAAGGCAGAGUUAGAA
rnacentral:misc_RNA from 1 species